AGUUUCCUCCCACAUUCCAAAACAUGGGUUUGUGGGUUAAGUAGCUGCUGUAAAUUGUGAGGCAAGUUUGUUAUCUGACAUAUGUUGUGAAAUCUGCUGAUUAUGGCAGCAGUACAGUGAAAUACAUAAAAUUACUAGAAACAUCAGUAAGAAAUAUAAUAAAAAUUAACAAGUAGUGCAAAAGAUGGUACAACGCUCCCUCGGUUGGCAUCUUCCAGUCAGCCCACCGCAAUGUCUAUUUUACAUCUUGUACGUCUGUUUUUCAUCUUUAGUUUGUUCCUGGGGCUGUCAGAGCCUGCGAUUUACAGUUUGGAGAUCAUUUGAAUGAUCCAGCACUUUGCUGUCUCUGAGAAGAUUCCAGGAAGUGAAUGCGAACUUGGAUUUUCUUUGCUGCAAAGAAACUUGGAGACUGGGCAAUUUCCAACACCAUUGCGCCGUUCAAAGCAUCCAUUAAUCACCAAUUAAAGUGUUGAGGAAGACUAAGAUUUCGAGGCGAAUGUAGAAGGUGAAAGUUCAGUGCCGACUGCCUGCCUUUUGAUCGCUGCUGGAGAAGGGGUCUGAGAGCAGCCUAUCGCUGUGUGGCUGGCUGACGCAGGCGGGUUCUACCAAUCAUCCCAACACCAGGAGCAAGUUACGGUGGUCAUGGGGAUGUGGGAGGAAACUGAGGCACGCAGGGGAGAUCGACACGGUCUCAGGGUGAAUGCACAAAUUCCACACACAGUGUCAGAGGUCAGGAUCAAACCUGGGGCUCUACCCGCUGUGCCACUGUCAGUUGUCGUCAUCUGCAGGGUGAAACAAACCUUUCUAACACUUACCUUUGACAAUGGGAACCAAAGAUGUGGGAGCUCUCACAAAGACAUUGAAGAAUCAGCCGCUGUCUCCUCUUGCUCUCCUGGAUAACACCACUGGGCAAAGGUACAGCCGCCUCCCCUCGAGAGUCUCAAGCCCUCUGGGGAACAAGAGCAGGAUGUACAGCCCAGUCCAUCACAGGAAAAGCCCUCCCCACCAUUGAACAUAUGUACUAGGAGUACUUCCACAGGAAAACAGCAGCCAGCCAGGCCAUCCUCUCUACUCACUACUGCCAUCGGACAGGAGGCACGGGAGCCUAAGGUCCCAGGAUCAGACCAUCAGUUUCAAACUCCUGUCCCAGCCUGGACAACCUCACUCUCCUCAACUCUGAACGACUCUACGACCUACAGACUCACUUUCAGGGACCCUUUACAACUCACGCUCUCAGUAUUACUGUACUUCUGUUUGGACAUUUUGUCUUCUUUUGCAUAUUGCUGUUUGUCAGGUUUUGCCUGUUUAUGAAUAGCUUCUCAUAAAAUGUUCUUUAUUUUUUGCUCGGUAAAUGCCUGCAAGAAAAUUAAUCUCAAGGUAGUACACGGUCAUUUAAAGGCUCUUUAAUAAUAAAUUUGAACUUUGAACUUG